UGGGGAGGGCUGACAUCACUAUAAGGAGGAGGCUCUGAUCAUAAUGGGGAGGGCUGACAUCACUAUAAGGAGGAGGCUCUGAUCAUAAUGGGGAGGGCUGACAUCACUAUCAGGAGGUGUCUGAAACCACAUGAAAGGAGUCAUUCACAUUUGGAAGGGGUCUGAAAUGACAAGAUAGACUCUUAACGAGUCACUGAUUAUGGAGAAUGCGCUCUUAAGGGCUCACGUAGAAAUAACAGGUAACUAGAACCCUCCACUCUCUAGAUACACUCUUCUGGGAAAGCGUGUGUGUGUGUGUGUAGUGUGUGUGUGUGUGUGCGUGUGUCUGUGUAGUGUGUAGUGUGUGUGUGUGUGUGUGGUGUGUGUGGUGUGUGUGCGUGUGCGUGUGGUGUGUGUAGUGUGUGCGUGUAUGCCUGUAGACUGCAGUGAAAGGACUCUUUGUCGCUGACAGGAGAGGUGGGUGGGAGAAAAGUGCUGCUUGAGCAGGACUGUGUGGAGGAGGCCUCGCUAGGAACACAAUAUAUAUAUAUAUGGGGGAUUGGAAAUGAUGCAGACAAUUACAUUGAUGGAAACUACAAUCUGCCAUAUUAAAGCUGAUCUAGACCCUAAAAAAUAUGAAUAAAUGACAAGGAACACGACAUCACACAGACACACGUGAGCAUGCAUGAAGAGGAAGAGACAGAAGCACUGGAGGAAACCUAAGCAGGAGACAUGAUAUGUCGGGAAGUACCUUUGAGGUGUGAUAUGAGAGGGAAGAAAGUUUUUAAACUCAUGGAUAGCAUUUGUGUUUGUGUCUGUGUCCAGUAUGAAGGAAGUUAGAGGUCGUUUCACGAGCAAAUGCUAACUAGCAUUAGCACAAUGAUUGGAAAUCUAUGGGUAUCUGCUAGCAUGACAUUAAGAAAUGUGCAUACAGGCACUGUGGCACACACACAUUGAGUGAGUGAUUCAUAAGGUUAAGGCCUAGUCUGUAUACCACUCCACCUCUCAGGUCUACAUCACCACUAAGGACCAACCAGUCUAUAUUCCUAGUCAAUACCACUAAGAAACACUGUCAACCAUCUGAAAGGUUGGACCACGUUGAGACCAGAGAAACACUGUCAACCAUCUGAAAGGUUGGACCACAUUGAGACCAGAGAAACACUGUCAACCAUCUAAAAGGUUGGACCACAUUGAGACCAGAGAAACACUGUCAACCAUCUGAAAGGUUGGACCACAUUGAGACCAGAGAAACACACUGUCAACCAUCUGAAAGGUUGGACCACAUU
rnacentral:lncRNA from 13 species